rnacentral:rRNA from 1 species
UACGUAGGGUGCAAGCGUUGUCCGGAAUCAUUGGGCGUAAAGAGCGUGUAGGCGGCCAGAUAAGUCCGCUGUGAAAACUCGAGGCUCAACUUCGAGCUGUCGGCGGAAACUAUCUGGCUAGAGUCCGGAAGAGGAGAGUGGAAUUCCUGGUGUAGCGGUGAAAUGCGCAGAUAUCAGGAAGAACACCCGUGGCGAAGGCGGCUCUCUGGGACGGUACUGACGCUGAGACGCGAAAAGCGUGGGGGAGCGAACAGG